GAGAUGAUGCUGACAUUUUGUGGAAGAAGCAUAAACAUGAACUUGGGGAGGUGUAGAUAUUAUGCAGUGACAGUAAAGACAAACAUGUUUAUCAUUCUCAAGAGAGCUGCUGUUAUACUUCAUAAAUGAAUUACCCUCGAUGCUCCAUUUCCUUCUAGAGUAGGGAGUACAAAAUAUAUUGACAGCACAUUACUUGUAUUUCCUGAAAACUUAAUACUGUAUGUGCGUAAAAACAAAAUUCAUUACAUGUCAAAGAGGAAUAUUGUUACUUAAUUGACAUGGGUUGAUUUUUUGGAAGAAAGAAAGUACACUUUCAUGGAAAAAUGAUAUUUGUGUACCUGUGCGUAAUAUUAAUUGUGUAUGCUUAUUGUGUGUAAUUGACUUUCUUAACCAUUAUCCAGAUACAGAUUUGAGAGUUCACAUUCUUAUGUGAUGUUCAAGUAAGUAUUAAUUUUUUUUAUUUUUUCUUCAUAUUUAUAGAUAUGAUAGCAAUUCCAGAUUUUUCUGCAGGAGCAAUGGAGAACUGGGGAUUAAUCACAUACCGAGGAUCAUCAGUCCUUUAUAAACCAAAUGUCACAUCUACACCACAAGAAACAUGGAUAGUUGUUACUAUUACUCAUGAAUUGGCACAUCAGUGGUUUGGUAAUUUGGUGACAAUGGAAUGGUGGAAUGAUCUGUGGCUCAAUGAAGGAUUUGCCUCAUUUGUAGAAUACAUCGGAGCAGAUCAUUUUAGACCUGAAUGGCACAUGUUGGAUAAGUUCAUCAUAGAAACCACCCAUGCAGCAAUGGCCAAAGAUCAGAAAGCUUAUUCACAUCCUAUCAGAGUAACAGUCCAUGAUACUGCUCAAAUCAGUGAAAUAUUUGAUUCCAUCUCGUACAGUAAGGUAUGUAGGUUUCAUUUGAAACUAUAUUCUGUUUAUAAUUUUCUAAAGUCUAUGGACGAAUGUUAUACAGUGGGUAUAAAAAAAACAGGACAGAUUUGAAAAGUCUAUACAAUUUUUGUUUCAAAUUAUGAUGUCUAUAUUUUGGUGUUAAUAGGUGAUCUGAAGUCUCUUUCAAAUGCCAUUAAAAGAAUUUAGUUUUGUUCAUGCAUGAGCAAACACGGAAUGUUUUUGUCUGGGGAUAAAAAGGAGGCUUGCGCCAAAAUGGCAUAAAAUGAUAAAUAUGAUGAUCGGACUUCUUGCUAAUCAGCAGACUUCCUCUUAACCUUUUCAUUAUCUUUGCCAUAAUUUUCAAAUUAUGCGGUCAAAAUUCAUUUUCAAAUCUAUUUAUUUGCUUGAAUUGUUCUGUUGUUUCUUUUUAAUAUGUUUUCUUUUAGCUUUGAAUAUUCCUUCUUUGAGCAAAAACAACAUUUUUUUUUCAACCGGAAUAUGGGAGAGCUUUUGGGUUUUUUUUUUUUAUACUUUCAUUGUGUGCUACAAAGGUUAUGAUGCCUUUAAACAGUGCCAUACAGAUUGGCGGGGCUCGGGAUGCUCCCCCCC